AAAAAAGGCAAACCGCGGAUUGCGUGCCAACGUUUGACUGUCCGUCUUAUAUAUGAAACUUUUCUAUAAUUAGUAUUUUCAUUGUUGUUAGAUGAUAAAACAUGAUGAAUACUUUAUGCGUGACUUAUCCUUUUAUUUUUUUUCAUAAUUUUUUCAAAUAAGACGGACGGUCAAACAUUGAACACGGAAACCAGAGAUUGUCUUUUUU
rfam:Oryza sativa Japonica Group DNA, chromosome 2, cultivar: Nipponbare, complete sequence.